rnacentral:rRNA from 1 species
GACGAACGCUGGCGGCGUGCUUAACACAUGCAAGUCGAACGGAGUGGCGAACGGGUGAGUAACACGUGGGUGACCUGCCCUGCACUUCGGGAUAAGCCUGGGCAACUGGGUCUAAUACCGGAUAGUGUGGGAUGGGCCCGCGGCCUAUCAGCUUGUUGGUGGGGUAAUGACCUAACAAGGCGGCGACGGGUGGCCGGCCUGAGAGGGUGGACGGCCACAUUGGGACUGGGACACGGUCCAGACUCCUACGGGAGGCAGCAGUGGGGAAUAUUGCACAAUGGGCGCAAGCCUGAUGCAGCCAUGCCGCGUGUAUGAAGAAGGCCUUCGGGUUGUAAACUCCUUUCACCAUCGACGCGGUAGAUGGAGAAGAAGCACCGGCUAACUACGUGCCAGCCGCCGCGGUAAUUC